rnacentral:rRNA from 1 species
ACGGGUGAGUAAUACGUGAGUAACCUGCCUUUGACUCCGGGAUAAGCCUGGGAAACUGGGUCUAAUACCGGAUAUGACAAGGAACCGCAUGGUUUUUUGUGGAAAGGGUUUGUACUGGUUUUAGAUGGGCUCACGGCCUAUCAGCUUGUUGGUGGGGUAAUGGCUCACCAAGGCGACGACGGGUAGCCGGCCUGAGAGGGUGACCGGCCACACUGGGACUGAGACACGGCCCAGACUCCUACGGGAGGCAGCAGUGGGGAAUAUUGCACAAUGGGCGCAAGCCUGAUGCAGCGACGCCGCGUGAGGGAUGACGGCCUUCGGGUUGUAAACCUCUUUCAGCAGGGAAGAAGCGAAAGUGACGGUACCUGCAGAAGAAGCGCCGGCUAACUACGUGCCAGCAGCCGCGGUAAUACGUAGGGCGCGAGCGUUGUCCGGAAUUAUUGGGCGUAAAGAGCUUGUAGGCGGUUUGUUGCGUCUGCUGUGAAAGACCGGGGCUUAACCCCGGUAUUGCAGUGGGUACGGGCAGACUAGAGUGCAGUAGGGGAGACUGGAAUUCCUGGUGUAGCGGUG